AUGUUGUAGACUUGUAUAUCAUGCUUCUUAGAUAAUCCAGCUUGAUUUCUGAAACAAUUCCUUUCCACGGAGAUUUCCAGGCAUAGCUUACGCAAGCAAGGCUUCCGAGUAGGAAGGUCAGAUUGCGCGCUGUAAUCGAUGAGAUCGAGGCUCUGAAACCGGAAUUCGGGGAGUGGAUUAACUGGAUAUAGCCAACGAUGAAUCCUUUUGUGUUGGAAGUGGUUCCCAGUGGUAUUGUAUACUCCAGGACCUCUCUUUAAUGCUACGACCAACUACAGUGUUGUUGUUAGAGUCUUCAAUCAUUUGGAUGAUCCUCUUCUUUUGACUUGGUCUGGGCCGCCUGGCAUCCAAAUGCAGCGUCACUUGUGGCAAGACGGUCUUCCUGGCACACACUUCCUCCGAGAUGGAACUUUACUUACCAGUUUCAGGUGGAAGAUCAAAUUGGAAGCUUCUGCUCUCCCUUACUCAACUUCCAGAGAGCAUCUGCUAAGUUUGUUCAUGUUGUGAUUAAUAACUGGAACAUUAAAUCUUAUCCUUUUCCCACAGUCUGACGGCAAAAUGGUUUUAAGAAUAUUACUUGACUAUGGGAAAGAACUUGGGAUGCCGGAUGGAGUCCUCAUCAUGGACAGUGUCCUUACAAGUACAGCAGUAGUGUACCUGAUGGAAUUGAUUACUUAACCGCUCAUGUUGAACUAGGUACUAAGAGUUUUUCUAUCACUUUGUCUGAUGAGACGGAUGUCUCUUCGCAUGUGACUUUCCCACUAUGGGAAAACACUCGAAAGCUUGAAGCUCAUGUUGUUUACUUUCUCUACAAUUCUAGAUUUUAGUACAAC